UUAGAGUCCAAUAUACCAAUGAACUAGAAUACUGUAGAAUACAGGGAUCAAUGCUGAUACCUAGAAGUGCAAAAUACGAGUAAACUAAAUGGAACAAAUCAUUAUAUCAUGUAUUAAACUACAACAGUCACUGUUUCAUCUCUGAUUUGCUCCAUUUAGUUUACUCACAUAUCCAUCAUUCACACUCAGUUGCAUUUGCCAUUUAAGCCCAACUCAUCAUUUGCUCAUCUCUGUCACAGACCCUACCUGGACUGGGUCGUAACAUAAAUUAAGGGCUCAUCCCUUUUUUGUUUGUGUGCUUUGUCUGGCAUUUUUUCACUUUGUCCGGGGGGUGUGAGUUUAUUGUUGGCUGUUGUGUUAGGAUGGAUACUUUCACAAUAGUAGACUUCUCACUUUGCACUAAUUUGGAGGUGUUUGAUAGGUGUUGUUAAGACUUCACGCUACAGAGGAUUUCUUUGAUGUGGCGAUACCUCAAGGUGGAGGUGAAGGCUGUUUUUUAGGAAGUCUUGGUAGUGGAGGGUAUCCUGCCAUAAAGAAAUGAGGUCCCUGGGUUCCAGCUCAACCAGUGACAUCUCCACCUUCAGCAGAGGCUAGUGGUGGGGAUGAACCACAGUCAGAGUUGGGCGUAGAAUCAGAGGAGUCUCCAUCCAAACUGGAAGACCCUCACUUACUGAUAUGGCUGCGUGAGUUAGAGCUGCAAAUGAAGAGGCAGGAGUAUAACACAGUUGUUGCAGUCUUUGCUUCUCUGCCUGGGCCAAAAAGAGAAACCCAUCCUUGCAAGACCGUCCCAUUACCCCACAGAAAAAGUGAAGUCCCUGGGAAACGGGAGUGUUUUUACUGUCACAGAAGAGGCCACUUGAUAGCCGCUUGUCCAGAUUUGAUGCAUAAAAACACAUGAAAGACUGGGUCAUAACAUCUGUUUCAGCAACAUGGAUCUCUAGGUGCUUCAGGACACUGGACACUUAGCUCCUAGAACAGAGCUAAUCAGACCCAGGUGAAGCUCAUCAGAGUGACACUCCUGAAAUCACCCAAUCCACUGAUCUCCAAUCAGCCCAGAGCCAGAUGAAGAGCCAGCUGUACUGAGGGAGGAACUGCAGUUGUCUCACACAUUGCUCAUCUUCUUCUCAGAGGCAGACAGCCAGUGAUCUCCAAAUGUGCAGAGAACUGAAUGAAGACACAAAUUUACAAAACACAUCAGACUCUUACUGACACCUGCCCAAUAAUAAAGAGUUUUCCUGA